rnacentral:rRNA from 1 species
UACAGAGGGGGCAAGCGUUGUUCGGAAUUACUGGGCGUAAAGGGCGCGUAGGCGGCCUUCUAAGUCGAACGUGAAAUCCCCGGGCUUAACCCGGGAACUGCGUCCGAUACUGGAAGGCUUGAAUCCGGGAGAGGGAUGCGGAAUUCCAGGUGUAGCGGUGAAAUGCGUAGAUAUCUGGAGGAACACCGGUGGCGAAGGCGGCAUCCUGGACCGGUAUUGACGCUGAGGCGCGAAAGCCAGGGGAGCAAACGGG